rnacentral:rRNA from 1 species
UACGAACUGUGCGAACGUUAUUCGGAAUCACUGGGCUUACAGGGUGCGUAGGCGGCUUGUUAAGUAGGGUGUGAAAGCCCCCGGCUCAACCGGGGAAUGGCGCCCUAAACUGGCGAGCUGGAGUGAGAUAGGGGUGUGUGGAACUUCCGGUGGAGCGGUGAAAUGUGUUGAUAUCGGAAGGAACGCCGGUGGCGAAAGCGGGUCUCUGGGCCGUAACUGACGCUGAGGAGCGAAAGCGUGGGGAGCGAACAGG